AUUGAACGCUGGCGGCAGGCCUAACACAUGCAAGUCGAGCGAGCGGCGGACGGGUGAGUAAUGUAUGGGGACUGCCCGAUAGAGGGGGAUAACUACUGGACACGGUAGCUAAUACCGCAUACUCUCGGAUAACCCAUAUGGGAUUAGCUAGUAGGUAAGGUAAAGGCUCACCAAGGCAACGAUCCGUAGCUGGUUUGAGAGGACGACCAGCCACACUGGGACUGAGACACGGCCCAGACUCCUACGGAGGCAGCAGUGGGGAAUUUUGGACUAUGGGGACAACACUGAUCCAGCCAUCACGCGUGUAUGAUGAAGGCCUUCGGGUUGUAAAGUACUUUUGGCAGAGAAGCGGUGUCUGCAGAAUAAGCACCGGCUAACUACGUGCCAGCAGCCGCGGUAAUAC
rnacentral:rRNA from 1 species